AUUAAAGGUAUGUUGUUCUAUUUAUUUAUUUAUUUUAGAGAUGGGUUCCCACUACUUUGCCAGGGCUGGACUCGAACUCCUGGGCUUGAGUGAUCCUCAUGUCUCAGCCUCUGGAACAGCUGUGACUAUUGGCCUGUGCCACUGCAGCCAGAGGUGUUCUGUCAUUUUUAAAGAAUAGAAAAUAGUGAUUUUUUUUUAUGGAAUAUGUGGCAAUAUUAUUGAAUGUCUUACCUUCUUAGGAAAGAAAAUGAAGUGGUUGAAAACAAAGUUAGAGCUGAAGAGUUAAGUUUCUGGUGCCUGCGUUGGAGAGUUUUGCUGAUUGAUCCUGUCAUUUUUAAACAAUAUAUGCUACCAAAAAAGAAAGUCUUCUAAGCCCCAGGGUCCAGUGCUGCUCCCAGACUUUUCUGUGAAGAGCUGCAGUGCUGUCAUUGGAGUCAGUUUGGGUGAGACUAUCAAUCAAGGUGCUCCUCUUUGCUAGCAAAGGUGUGUGGCAAAUAGAUGAUGCUCUGUUCCUGGAAUUCCAAUGAAGUGUCACAGAGUUUUCAGUUUAAUCCGCCCUGUGACUGCGUGAUGAUUCCUGCGACCUCUGACCCUGGGGCUGUCCGAGCUCCUCUCUCCCAACCCCUGACUCCUCUGCUGAUGUUUUCACUCUAGGAGUUACCCUGUGUCCUUCCAAUAUGCUCUUUUUUAUUUUUUAAUUCUGUAUCACUAGAUCAGUUUUUUUUUUUUUUUGCUGAUUAUAUUUAAAUAAUCCUGUGUCACUUUGCGUGUCAUGGAUAUUUUUGCUUCAGAAAAAUUAACAUCUUAACUUAAAACAUAAAUUGUUUUAAAGAAAGAAAUCUGAAUACAUAAUUGUACAGAUAAUACUCAGAUGUAGCCAAAAUUGUGAGGAUUGGCAAAUGGCUAAUGAUUGGGAAACAAUAAAAACUGCCGUUAACAAUUAGCUUCCUGGGUAUGUUUAGGCAUUAAAAUUGGAGUUAUCUUGAAAAAGUCAUUGAAAAUAUAUCAAGGAUUGUAUUAUUGAGCUGAUCCUAUUAAUGAAAAAACAUGGACUUGGACAGGAUAAUGUGCUAAUUAAUAUAUUAAUGGUCUUCAAGGCCUAAAACAAGUUUUGAAAAGGGGAUGAUAGUAUUUCCUUGGUCAAGAUCAUGUCUUUUUAUUUAAAAACACUUAUUGCCUAUGUCACAGAAUCUCAUUUUUCUUUUCUCAGGUAGGGUAUUUUAUUUAUUUUUUAUAUCAUUUUCCACAAUUAGUAAAAUACUAAAGGUGUAAAUCUCUGUCAGUCAAAUCAAGCAUUAGUGAUGCAGACAAUGUGUAUGUGUGUGUUUGUGCACAGGAGGCAUGCCUCUGAGGCUGGAUAGUUCCGGGUAGGAGUGUUAGUGAUGUCAGCCCUGUCCCCACUGGACACAUCGUCAUAAAUGCCAUGAGCUCCUCUGUCUCUGUCCCAACUCCAAGGCACAAGUUAUGAACCCCUCCUUUAUUGGUCCUCUUACCUAGAGGUUCUGAGUUCUGUUUUGGGAUAGAAACAAACACUGAAGAUUUCUAUCCCACCAGAUUCCUAUUUGUAUCUGAUGCUUUUAUUUUUAUUUCAAAAAUAUGAUUUUAAAAUUUUGGGAUGAAGACCGGGCUCGGUGAAGAUGUUGACACCUGAAAAUAUCUUCAGCAAUUACGUUUUCCAAGUAAUUGCUGUCAGGGAAAUAGCAAUAAGAUGUGCAGUUUACUUAUGAUUCCCCCCAAUAAUCUAUUUCAGGGCAAGAAAGCUUCAGGUAGUGGAGAUUUCACUUUGAAAUGGCAUAACAGGCUGGGCGUGGUGGCUCAUGCCUGUAAUCCCAGCACUUUGGGUGGCUGAGGUGGGAGGACUGCUUGAGGCCACAUAGCAAGACCCCAUCUCUAAAUAAAAAUAAAUAAAUAAAAAUUAGAAAAAGAGAAAUGACAUAAGACUCAGCAAUUGACUAUGUUUCCA
rnacentral:lncRNA from 10 species